UAGCUGUUAGGAGACUUUGUCUUUUAGUGGCGCAGCUAACGUUUUAAGUUGUCCGCCUGGGGAGUACGGCCGCAAGGCUAAAACUCAAAUGAAUUGACGGGGACCCGCACAAGCAGUGGAUCAUGUGGUUUAAUUCGAUGCAACGCGAAAAACCUUACCUACUCUUGACAUACUUGGAAGCUCUUGUAAUGAGAGUGUGCUUUUAAGAACCAAGAUACAGGUGCUGCAUGGCUGUCGUCAGCUCGUGUCGUGAGAUGUUCCGUUAAGUCGGAUAACGAGCGCAACCCUUACCCUUAUUUGCCAGCGAUUCGGUCGGGAACUAUAAGGGGACUGCCGGUGAUAAACCGGAGGAAGGUGAGGACGACGUCAAGUCAUCAUGGCCCUUACGAGUAGGGCUACACACGUGAUACAAUGGGAGAGACAGACGGACGCUAAGCCGCGAGGUGGUGCUAAUCCUAGAAACUCUCUCGUAGUCCGGAUUGGAGUCUGCAACUCGACUCCAUGAAGUUGGAAUUGCUAGUAGUCGCGGAUCAGCAUGCCGCGGUGAAUACGUUCUCGGGUCUUGUACACACCGCCCGUCACACCAUGGAAGUGGAUUGCACCAGAAGUAGAUAGUCUAACCUUAGGGAGGGCGUUUACCACGGUGUGCUUCAUGACUGGGGUG
rnacentral:rRNA from 1 species